UAAUACCAAACUUGCACAAUGCAUAUCAUCUGAAUUAUAUGAAUGUGAGCUAUUUUAAGAAGCAAAGUUACUUAGUGCAUGUGCCUGUUUGAAUAAAUCACUUUAUAAUCCUUCUUUUGAUGGAAUUACAACUGCCAGAAAUGUUCGGACAAAAAAGACUAUUAUUGGAGGCUGAUUAGACUUCCAUCCACUUGCCCAAGAUGAAGAGAACAAGGUAGAAGGGCAAUGCACGUUGAACAAGAUUUCAGAGCUGGUGCUGAAGCCUGACAAGCUGCCUUCAAAGGCUGUACUCUCAGCCCCUCUUCCAUAACCGCAUCUCAAAAAUACUUGGUUAUUGCCUUCACACUGACACAGUUCUUCUACUGGCUUAUGAAUUAUUUGAAAGAUAGAGU